AUACGUAGGUGACAAGCGUUAUCCGGAUUUACUGGGCGUAAAGGGCGUGUAGGCGGUCUUGCAAGUCAGAAGUGAAAUUCCUGAGCUCAACUCGGGCGCUGCUUCUGAAACUGCAGGACUUGAGUGCUGGAGGGGAUAGCGGAAUUCCUAGUGGAGCGGUAAAAUGCGCAGAUAUUAGGAAGAACACCGGUGGCGAAGGCGGAUAUCUGGACAGUAAUUGACGCUGGGGCGCGAAAGCGUGGGGAGCAAACAGGAUUAGAUACCCGGGUGGUCCACGCCGUAAACGAUGAAUACUAGGUGUAGGGGGUAUCGACUCCCUCUGUGCCGCAGUUAACACAAUAAGUAUUCCGCCUGGGGAGUACGGCCGCAAGGUUGAAACUCAAAGGAAUUGACGGGG
rnacentral:rRNA from 1 species